GAUCCUGGCUCAGGAUGAACGCUAGCUACAGGCUUAACACAUGCAAGUUGAGGGGCAGCAUGGUCUUAGCUUGCUAAGGCCGAUGGCGACCGGCGCACGGGUGAGUAACGCGUAUCCAACCUGCCUUACACUCUUGGACAGCCUUCUGAAAGGGAGAUUAAUACAAGAUGUUAUCAUGAGUAAGCAUUUUCGCAUGAUUAAAGGUUUACCGGUGUAAGAUGGGGAUGCGUUCCUA
rnacentral:rRNA from 1 species